UACGGGGGGGGGCAAGCGUUGUUCGGAAUUACUGGGCGUAAAGCGCGCGCAGGUGGUCUUUCAAGUCAGUGGUGAAAGCCCGGAGCUCAACUCCGGAAAUGCCAUUGAAACUGUAAGACUUGAGGAUGAGAGAGGUGAGUGGAAUUCCCAGUGUAGAGGUGAAAUUCGUAGAUAUUGGGAAGAACACCGGUGGCGAAGGCGGCUCACUGGCUCAUAUCUGACGCUCAGGCGCGACAGCGUGGGGAUCAAACAGG
rnacentral:rRNA from 1 species